rnacentral:pre_miRNA from 1 species
CCAUGCACCCACAAGCGCAACCCAACUCAAAUGAAAGGUUUGGGUGUACUUGUGGAUGAAUGG